rnacentral:tRNA from 2 species
CGGGGUGUAGCGCAGCUUGGCAGCGCGCUUCGUUCGGGACGAAGAGGCCGCCGGUUCAAAUCCGGCCACCCCGA